rnacentral:rRNA from 1 species
AUGGCUCCUCACGCCGCUGUCCUCCUCUCCCUCCUCCUGCUCACCACCUGCGCGGCGGACACGCAUCUCCACUUCUUCCUCCACGACGUGGUCUCCGGCAGCAACCCGACGGCGGUGCAGGUCAUCAAGGGUCCUGCCUCGUCGUCCAACGCCCUCCCGGACGUGGCCUUCGGCGACACGACCGUCAUCGACGACGCGCUGACGGAGACCUCGUCGCCGACGUCGGCGCCCGUGGGGCGCGCGCAGGGGUUCUACAUGAUGUCGUCGCAGUCGGGCAUGGUGCUGAUGAUGUGCGUGAACCUGCUGCUCACCACGGGGGACUACAACGGCAGCACGCUGGCCGUCAUCGGCCGCGACGACGUCAUGACCACCACGCGGGAGCUCUCCGUGGUGGGCGGCACGGGGAAGUUCCGGAUGGCGACGGGGUACGUGGUGUGGAAGACCAAUAGCUCGAGCGGCGCCGACGCCACCAUCGAGCUUGACGUCUACACCACCGGCCUCAACGGCACCGCCACCAUCGACGCCAACGCGCCCGUCUCCCCCAUCGACGGGAGCGGCGCCACCGGCAAGUCGUCCUCGGGCGCGGCGGCGCUGAGAGGAGCAGUGCCGUACGGGUGGGCCAACGCGUGGGUGGCCGCCGUCCUUGUAGCUCUGGCUGGUUGCGUUUGGUGA